rnacentral:rRNA from 1 species
CCUACGGGCGGCAGCAGUGGGGAAUAUUGGGCAAUGGCGGCAACUCUGACCCAGCAACGCCGCGUGAAUGAUGAAGGUCUUCGUCUUGUAAAGUUCUUUUCUAAGGGAAGAAGAAGGUGACGGUACCUUAGGACUAAGCCUCGGCUAACUACGUGCCAGCAGCCGCGGUAAGACGUAGGCGGCAAGCGUUAUCCGGAAUGACUGGGCGUAAAGGGGGCGUAGGUGGUUUUACAAGGUAGGAGCGAAACUCCGGGGCUCAACUUCGGAACUACUACUAAAACUGUUGGACUUGAGUGCAGGAGGGGUAAGCGGAAUUCCUAGUGUAGCGGUGGAAUGCGUAGAUAUUAGGAGGAACACCAGUGGCGAAGGCGGAUUGCUAGACUGUAACUGACACUGAGGCACGAAAGCGUGGGGAGCAAACAGGAUUAGAUACCCGAGUAGUC